AAGCUCGUAGUUGAAUUUCGGGAUCAAUAUUUCGGUCAUGCCGUUGGUAUGCACUGUUAUCAUUGAUUUCUCACCUUCUAAAGAACCGUAAUGCCAUUAAUUUGGUGUUACGGGGAAUUAGGACUGUUACCUUGAAAAAAUUAGAGUGUUUAAAGCAGGCUCACGCUUGAAUACAUUAGCAUGGAAUAAUGAAAUAGGACAUCCGAUUCUAUUUUGUUGGUUUCUAGGAUCGAUGUAAUGAUUAAUAGGGAUAGUUGGGGGCAUUAGUAUUCAAUUGUCAGAGGUGAAAUUCUUGGAUUUAUUGAAGACCAACUACUGCGAAAGCAUUUGCCAAGGAUGUUUUCAUUAAUCAAGAACGAAAGUUAGGGGAUCGAAGACGAUCAGAUACCGUCGUAGUCUUAACCAUAAACUAUGCCGACUAGGGAUCGGAUGAUGUUAAUUUUUUAAUGACUCAUUCGGCGCCUUACGGGAAACCAAAGUGUUUGGGUUCCGGGGGGAGUAUGGUCGCAAGGCUGAAACUUAAAGGAAUUGACGGAAGGGCACCACCAGGGGUGGAGCCUGCGGCUUAAUUUGACUCAACACGGGGAAACUCACCAGGUCCAGACAUAGUAAGGAUUGACAGAUUGAGAGCUCUUUCUUGAUUCUAUGGGUG
rnacentral:rRNA from 1 species